rnacentral:rRNA from 1 species
GAUGAACGCUGGCGGCGUGCCUAAUACAUGCAAGUCGAGCGAACGGACGAGAAGCUUGCUUCUCUGAUGUUAGCGGCGGACGGGUGAGUAACACGUGGAUAACCUACCUAUAAGACUGGGAUAACUUCGGGAAACCGGAGCUAAUACCGGAUAAUAUUUUGAACCGCAUGGUUCAAAAGUGAAAGACGGUCUUGCUGUCACUUAUAGAUGGAUCCGCGCUGCAUUAGCUAGUUGGUAAGGUAACGGCUUACCAAGGCAACGAUGCAUAGCCGACCUGAGAGGGUGAUCGGCCACACUGGAACUGAGACACGGUCCAGACUCCUACGGGAGGCAGCAGUAGGGAAUCUUCCGCAAUGGGCGAAAGCCUGACGGAGCAACGCCGCGUGAGUGAUGAAGGUCUUCGGAUCGUAAAACUCUGUUAUUAGGGAAGAACAUAUGUGUAAGUAACUGUGCACAUCUUGACGGUACCUAAUCAGAAAGCCACGGCUAACUACGUGCCAGCAGCCGCGGUAAUACGUAGGUGGCAAGCGUUAUCCGGAAUUAUUGGGCGUAAAGCGCGCGUAGGCGGUUUUUUAAGUCUGAUGUGAAAGCCCACGGCUCAACCGUGGAGGGUCAUUGGAAACUGGAAAACUUGAGUGCAGAAGAGGAAAGUGGAAUUCCAUGUGUAGCGGUGAAAUGCGCAGAGAUAUGGAGGAACACCAGUGGCGAAGGCGACUUUCUGGUCUGUAACUGACGCUGAUGUGCGAAAGCGUGGGGAUCAAACAGGAUUAGAUACCCUGGUAAUCCACGCCGUAAACGAUGAGUGCUAAGUGUUAGGGGGUUUCCGCCCCUUAGUGCUGCAGCUAACGCAUUAAGCACUCCGCCUGGGGAGUACGACCGCAAGGUUGAAACUCAAAGGAAUUGACGGGGACCCGCACAAGCGGUGGAGCAUGUGGUUUAAUUCGAAGCAACGCGAAGAACCUUACCAAAUCUUGACAUCCUUUGACAACUCUAGAGAUAGAGCCUUCCCCUUCGGGGGGGCAAAGUGACAGGUGGUGCAUGGUUGUCGUCAGCUCGUGUCGUGAGAUGUUGGGUUAAGUCCCGCAACGAGCGCAACCCUUAAGCUUAGUUGCCAUCAUUAAGUUGGGCACUCUAAGUUGACUGCCGGUGACAAACCGGAGGAAGGUGGGGAUGACGUCAAAUCAUCAUGCCCCUUAUGAUUUGGGCUACACACGUGCUACAAUGGACAAUACAAAGGGCAGCGAAACCGCGAGGUCAAGCAAAUCCCAUAAAGUUGUUCUCAGUUCGGAUUGUAGUCUGCAACUCGACUACAUGAAGCUGGAAUCGCUAGUAAUCGUAGAUCAGCAUGCUACGGUGAAUACGUUCCCGGGUCU